rnacentral:rRNA from 1 species
CAGCCGCCACGGUAACACGAAGGGGGCUAGCGUUGCUCGGAAUUACUGGGCGUAAAGGGCGCGUAGGUGGUUAUGUAAGUGAGAUGUGAAAUCCCCGGGCUCAACCUGGGAACUGCAUCUUAUACUGCGUAGCUGGAGUGCAGUAGAGGGUAGUGGAAUUUCCGGUGUAGCGGUGAAAUGCGUAGAUAUCGGAAGGAACACCAGUGGCGAAGGCGGCUACCUGGACUGACACUGACACUGAGGCGCGAAAGCGUGGGGAGCAAACAGGAUUAGAUACCCGCGUAGUCCCUGUCUCUUAUAC